AGAGCUAGGUGAAAGAAGCUGGAGAAGGAAGCAUUGCUGUAUCCUGAGUCCUCUGCUCCCCACCUACCUGUGCAGGAGGGGAAGGCUGGUCACAUGGGUACUCCUCUGCAUGGGAAAGUGUACCAGAUGCAAAGCUGAGACUCCCCAGAGAUAAUCUGGUACCUCAAAGACUUUUGGGAAACUGGCAGUUUCUUGCGUCACUGUCAUCAUUUGGAAUUACAAACUUGACGUGGACAAUGGCUGCCAUAAUAUGGGCCUGAAUAUGAGAAGUCCGGAAUACCUAAGUCAGAACAAAGUCUUCAACAGGUUUUACAGGAAACCAGGGCAUCUACAUAAAUUUGCUUUAGCUAUUGCUGCACUCUAAAUGGAAGGGAGGGUCAGGCAGAAUAUACAAGCACAGAAACACUCAGAUGAGAGAAGCUGAAGAGAACUUUAUCGCAAUAAGACUGAAACGGACAUUUACAGUAACUUUCUCCUUCUUUCAUAUGCGCCACAAGUUAAUAUCUGCAUUGUUCAGACAUCUUACUGCUGUAUCACUGAGUGUAGCAAGAUGCUGCAGUCCAGCCUCCUAUCCUCCACCCCAUGUCUGACCAUCAGCAUCGCUGACCCGUAGUCAUGCUAUGAAGAUUGGGCUAAGCCAAAUUUCUGCAUUGUGACAGCCACUCUGGCUGGUCCAGUCAACAGCCUGGUAAACCCAGUCCAGAGUCUUCAUCCCAGGUUGAAAACAGGUGGGUGUAAGUAAGGGGUUCUGAAGUUCAUCAACAUUCCUGUCUCUCUAUCCCAGGACUGCUGCCACUCUGCAAGGACAUAGUUAUUAAACCUGAUAUACCAUUGUUCGUCUGAGCUUAACACUACACUGGGAGCGCUGGACAUGAACUUAUGAACAGCAACUGCAAAAGGAUGUGACAAAGGCAGUCAUAGCAAGUCAGCAGGAACUGCAGGUGUAACUUCUCUAGACGUGCCUUAAGUCUUGUCCAUGGCUAUGUAAUGCCAUGGGGUCUUUACAAAGUCAUGGCCUGUUCAAGGCUGUGAACACCAGUGGAUCUUAGCACUGGUAUUUUCAAAAACACUACAGAGGUCCCUAAUUCUGCUCCUAUUGAACUCUAUAAUUACUAUUCAAAGGGAACAAAGCCAACGCUCAGAGCAAAACUCCCACACUCAAUGAUGAGGAGCUUCCUCUGAUAGAAAAAUGUGCAAUCCGGUGAUUUAAAAUGUGUCGGGUGAAUUUAGUGAAUAUUUAGUGAAAAUUUAGUGAAUAUUGCUACCCCCUAAUGGAAUUACUCGUGCAGCUGAAGUGGCAGAAGCCAUGC